ACUACCUUAGCUCAAUUGGUAGAGCGUCAAAGUACAAAUACGGAGGCCGUGGGUUCAAAUCCCGCAAGCAGUC
rnacentral:tRNA from 1 species